rnacentral:rRNA from 1 species
GACGAACGCUGGCGGCGUGCCUAAUACAUGCAAGUCGAACGCAGUGGGGACGGGUGAGUAACACGUGGGUAACCUCCCAACAGAGGGGAUAACACUUGGAAACAGGUGCUAAACCGAUACUGAUGGAUGCACCCGCGGUGCAUUAGCUAGUUGGUGAGGUAACGGCUCACCAAGGCCACGAUGAAUAGCCGCCUGGGUGGGGGGAUCGGCCACACUGGGACUGAGACACGGCCCAGACUCCUACGGGAGGCAGCAGUAGGGAAUAUUGCACAAUGGGCGCAAGCCGGAUGCAGCCAUGCCGCGGGUAUGAAGAAGGCCUUAGGGUUGUAAAGUACUUUCAGCGGGGAGGCGUUACCCGCAGAAGAAGCACCGGCUAACUCCGUGCCAGCAGCCGCGGUAAUAC